GAUGAACGCUGGCGGCGUGCCUAAUACAUGCAAGUCGAGCGAACAGACGAGGAGCUUGCUCCUCUGACGUUAGCGGCGGACGGGUGAGUAACACGUGGAUAACCUACCUAUAAGACUGGGAUAACUUCGGGACACCGGCGCUAAUACCGGAUAAUAUAUUGAACCGCAUGGUUCAAUAGUGAAAGACGGUUUUGCUGUCACUUAUAGAUGGAUCCGCGCCGCAUUAGCUAGUUGGUAAGGUAACGGCUUACCAAGGCAACGAUGCGUAGCCGACCGGAGAGGGUGAUCGGCCACACUGGAACUGAGACACGGUCCAGACUCCUACGGGAGGCAGCAGUAGGGAAUCUUCCGCAAUGGGCGAAAGCUUGACGGAGCAACGCCGCGUGAGUGAUGAAGGUCUUCGGAUCGUAAAACUCUGUUAUUAGGGAAGAACAAAUGUGUAAGUAACUAUGCACGUCUUGACGGUACCUAAUCAGAAAGCCACGGCUAACUACGUG
rnacentral:rRNA from 1 species